CGGAGUGUAGCGCAGUUGGUAGCGCGCCUGCUUUGGGAGCAGGAUGUCGGGAGUUCGAGUCUCUCCACUCCGA
rnacentral:tRNA from 1 species